rnacentral:rRNA from 1 species
GAUUAGUGGCGACGGGUGAGUAACACGUGGGCAAUCUGCCCUGCACUCUGGGACAAGCCCUGGAAACGGGGUCUAAUACCGGAUAUGACCGUCCAUCGCAUGGUGGAUGGUGUAAAGCUCCGGCGGUGCAGGAUGAGCCCGCGGCCUAUCAGCUAGUUGGUGAGGUAGUGGCUCACCAAGGCGACGACGGGUAGCCGGCCUGAGAGGGCGACCGGCCACACUGGGACUGAGACACGGCCCAGACUCCUACGGGAGGCAGCAGUGGGGAAUAUUGCACAAUGGGCGAAAGCCUGAUGCAGCGACGCCGCGUGAGGGAUGACGGCCUUCGGGUUGUAAACCUCUUUCAGCAGGGAAGAAGCGAAAGUGACGGUACCUGCAGAAGAAGCGCCGGCUAACUACGUGCCAGCAGCCGCGGUAAUACGUAGGGCGCAAGCGUUGUCCGGAAUUAUUGGGCGUAAAGAGCUCGUAGGCGGCUUGUCACGUCGGUUGUGAAAGCCCGGGGCUUAACCCCGGGUCUGCAGUCGAUACGGGCAGGCUAGAGUUCGGUAGGGGAGAUCGGAAUUCCUGGUGUAGCGGUGAAAUGCGCAGAUAUCAGGAGGAACACCGGUGGCGAAGGCGGAUCUCUGGGCCGAUACUGACGCUGAGGAGCGAAAGCGUGGGGAGCGAACAGGAUUAGAUACCCUGGUAGUCCACGCCGUAAACGGUGGGCACUAGGUGUGGGCAACAUUCCACGUUGUCCGUGCCGCAGCUAACGCAUUAAGUGCCCCGCCUGGGGAGUACGGCGCAAGGCUAAACUCAAAGGAAUUGACGGGGGCCCGCACAGCGCGAGCAUGUGGCUAUCGACGCACG